rnacentral:misc_RNA from 1 species
AUUACAUCUCUCAAGCUUUGCUUGGUAUUGGGCCUCGCCCCCGUGGCGUGCCCGGAUCUCAGUGGCGGUCCAGCGAGACUUCAAGCGUAGCAAGAUUUUACAUCCCGCUUUGGAAGCCUUUCUCGUUGAGUGCCAGCCAGACAACCCCAUUUUACUCAAUGAUUGACCUCGGAUCAAGUAGGGAUACCCGCUGAACUUAA